UACGAAGGGGGCUAGCGUUGCUCGGAAUCACUGGGCGUAAAGGUGCGUAGGCGGGUCUUUAAGUCAGGGGUGAAAUCCUGGAGCUCAACUCCAGAACUGCCUUUGAUACUGAGGAUCUUGAGUCCGGGGAGGUGAGUGGAACUGCGAGUGUAGAGGUGAAAUUCGUAGAUAUUCGCAAGAACACCAGUGGCGAAGGCGGCUCACUGGCCCGGUACUGACGCUGAGGUGCGAAAGCGUGGGGAGCAACAGG
rnacentral:rRNA from 1 species